rfam:Myotis brandtii contig306914, whole genome shotgun sequence.
GGCAGUUCUCAGGUGAUGCACAAAGGAAUCGGGCUCCCUCCUCUCUGGUUCCGGGUGCGUCACCCGAGAACUGCA